UCCCGAUGAGGAAGCAAACCCAAAAGAUAAGAAGUGCCAUAUGACACUCUCAAGCGCAGCAGUUCG